AGGGAUCAUUACUGAGUUACACGCUCUAUAACCCUUUGUGAACAUACCUAACCGUUGCUUCGGCGGGCAGGGGAAGCCUCUCGCGGGCCUCCCCUCCCGGCGCCGGCCCCCACCACGGGGACGGGGCGCCCGCCGGAGGAAACCAAACUCUAUUUACACGACGUCUCUUCUGAGUGGCACAAGCAAAUAAUUAAAACUUUUAACAACGGAUCUCUUGGUUCUGGCAUCGAUGAAGAACGCAGCGAAAUGCGAUAAGUAAUGUGAAUUGCAGAAUUCAGUGAAUCAUCGAAUCUUUGAACGCACAUUGCGCUCGCCAGCAUUCUGGCGAGCAUGCCUGUUCGAGCGUCAUUUCAACCCUCAAGCACCGCUUGGUUUUGGGGCCCCACGGCACACGUGGGCCCUUAAAGGUAGUGGCGGACCCUCCCGGAGCCUCCUUUGCGUAGUAACUAACGUCUCGCACUGGGAUCCGGAGGGACUCUUGCCGUAAAACCCCCAAAUUUUUUACAGGUUGACCUCGGAUCAGGUAGGAAUACCCGCUGAACUUAAGC
rnacentral:rRNA from 1 species